rnacentral:tRNA from 2 species
GCCGAAGUGGCGGAAUUGGUAGACGCGCUAGGUUCAGGGUCUAGUGGGAGUACUCCUGUCCGAGUUCAAAUCUCGGCUUCGGCACCA